rnacentral:rRNA from 1 species
CUUGACCAAAUAAUAAGAGGUCCAGCCUGCCCAGUGACAUAUAGUUCAACGGCCGCGGUAUCCUAACCGUGCGAAGGUAGCGUAAUCACUUGUUCUUUAAUUGAGGACUAGUAUGAACGGCUUCACGAAGACUACACUGUCUCCUUUUUCUAAUCAAUGAAACUAAUCUCCCCGUGAAGAAGCGGGGAUAAACCUAUAAGACGAGAAGACCCUAUGGAGCUUUAAACGAUCGAAAUAUUUGCUACCCCACUUUUCAUCUCCUGAGAACUAAAUAUAUUUUCAGCAUCUUAAUUUCUAGUUUUAGGUUGGGGUGACCACGGAGAACAAACUAACCUCCACGCUGAACGAGCCUUUCUCUUAGCAAAAAGUCACAACUUUAUGCAUCAAUACAUUGACUUCCAUUGACCCAAUUUUUGACCAACGAAC